AGCCUACUAUAUUCCUGCUGAGAUUUCGUCACACACCAGACCACAAGGGUUGAUGAGACUUCCAAGAUAAGUGAAGCG
rnacentral:pre_miRNA from 1 species